UGUAAGUUGAUGUGUGCGACAACUUGAAACGAAAGUGAAAAAUUAUUGAAUUCGAUGAAAAAAUUCUACAAAUAACAAUGCAGACUCAUUUUCAUAUCCAAUUGAUGAAACACUUGGAUGGAGCGUACUGAGGAGAGCUUGUAUAGAAAAUGUAUUGAGACAUUGGACGAAGAUACGAUCAAAAAGUUUAAUGAUAACGGUGUCACUUUGAAAAAUUUACUCAUAAUGGAGGAAAAUGAUUUUGAAGAUAUGUAAAUCGCCAGAAAAGGCCCGCUUGUGCAAAUUUUAGAUUUUAUUUCCAAAACGAACAUUAUUUUGAAUACAAAGAAUCCAAAUGUUGUUGAUUCCUGUGAAUUUUCAGUUGACGAGAUAGAAUCCAUACUGGAGAAACAUCCAAGUUUUUGGAAUAUUUACUUUUUUAAAUUUUUCUUGAAAGAGGAAAAUUGAAAUUUUAGGACUUGGUUGUUAAACCUUCAUGUCAAACCCUGUCGAACACUUUUACUAUGUCUAUAAAAGCAGUUCUGGUGGAACAGCCUUCAGAAUUCUUAACUCGAAUUAGACUAGUCACUCAUAGUAUCUGAUUAGCAGUUCUGUCAAGGUCAAGACUAUUUCAUAGAAUAAUAUUUAUUCAAAUAAUAUCCUAAUUUAAGCUUAUUUCAAUCUGUACCAAUUAGUCUAAUGAGAGUAAAUACAUAACUAGUGUAAUUUAAAACAGAUGCAUGGUAUGAAAAACAUAGGAAGAUGGAAUUGAAGGGCUUGUACUAAUCUAAGACAAGACGCGACAGCUGGUCACCGUUACAUGCAACCAAUUUGAACCGGCUGCUGAUUGGCUGAAUCCGAUAACGCAAUCGUCACGUAGAAAAUACAACGAGGUUACUUUUCACUGUAAAGCAGUGAUGCUGGAGAGUCAUAAUUUAGCUAUAAUUUUUCAUAAAUAAUGAUGCGAAAGUAUGCAAGGUACAUGAUAUUACCGAGUAAUGUAUUUCACUGUUAUAACUUUAAAAAUGCAUUGAUUAAUCGUUUUUUACUAUUUCGGUUGAUGUCCAAGAAACUAAGGAAGAAAAAAUUUGGGUACCAAGAAACUUAGGAAGAAAAAAUUUGAUAGUAGAAGCACAGAUAACAGACAUCCAAGCUAGUUUCGCUUCAUGUGUAAAAAGAUUCAACGGUUUUUUAGCAUGUCGCAAUACGCAGUAUGGUGGCGCUAAGAACACUUAGUAGUCAACGAUGUAAUAAAAUCGAUAGUUUUACAGCUUUUAUCGAUAUUCUCGCAAUAAGAAGGGUUGCGGUUUUUAAUGUAGAAAUUUCGAGCAGUCGUAAUUUGUACACAAUCGACAAUUUUAUUCCUUCCCAGCUUAUAUUUACGAUAAAUAUGUUUGUUUUAAUGUUGAUUUGAAAAAAAAACACCCACCUUACAAAAUCAGUGUUAUAUCAUUGCAAAAACAGCGACUCUAUAACCUGUGAUAAUGUUCAUGCGUCUGGCAGCUUUGACUGUAAUCCAGCGCUGCCAUCACUAAACUGGUUAGAGUCGCAAGUUGCAGAAAGAUGUCGUUAGCAUUCCAAACGAGUAAAAGUUUGAAAUCUUACACACGAUUUCUGGAGUUGAUGAAACAGUGGGGCAGAUUCAAGUGCAAUCCACUUGAAAGGGAUGUUGGAAUCAUACGUAAAUGAAGUGCGGCUCAUGGAUGUAAGUUGAUGUGUGCGACAACUUGAAACGAAAGUGAAAAAUUAUUGAAUUCGGUGAAAAAAAUUCUACAAAUAACAAUGCAGACUCAUUUUCAUAUCCAAUUGAUGAAACACUUGGAUGGAGCGUGCGCAGUUUUUUCAGUGUACGAUCCAAAACACUUUAAAUCUGUUACUUUUACAGGUACUGAGGAGAGCUUGUAUAGAAAAUUAAUUGAGACAUUGGACGAAGAUACGAUCAAAAAGUUUAAUGAUAACGGUGUCACUUUGAAAAAAUUACUCAUAAUGGAGGAAAAUGAUUUGAAAGAUAUGUAAAUCGCCAGAAAAGGCCCGCUUGUGCAAAUUUUAGAUUUUAUUUCCAAAACGAACAUUAUUUUGAAUACAAAGAAUCCAAAUGUUGUUGAUUCCUGUGAAUUUUCAGUUGGCGAGAUAGAAUCCAUACUGGAGAAACAUCCAAGUUUUUGGAAUAUUUACUUUUUUAAAUUUUUCUUGAAAGAGGAAAAUUGAAAUUUUAGGACUUGGUUGUUAAACCUUCAUGUCAAACCCUGUCGAACACUUUUACUAUGUCUAUAAAAGCAGUUCUGGUGGAACAGCCUUCAGAAUUCUUAACUCGAAUUAGACUAGUCACUCAUAGUAUCUGAUUAGCAGUUCUGUCAAGGUCAAGACUAUUUCAUAGAAUAAUAUUUAUUCAAAUAAUAUCCUAAUUUAAGCUUAUUUCAAUCUGUACCAAUUAGUCUAAUGAGAGUAAAUACAUAACUAGUGUAAUUUAAAACAGAUGCAUGGUAUGAAAAACAUAGGAAGAUGGAAUUGAAGGGCUUGUACUAAUCUAAGACAAGACGCGACAGCUGGUCACCGUUACAUGCAACCAAUUUGAACCGGCUGCUGAUUGGCUGAAUCCGAUAACGCAAUCGUCACGUAGAAAAUACAACGAGGUUACUUUUCACUGUAAAGCAGUGAUGCUGGAGAGUCAUAACUUAGCUAUAAUUUUUCAUAAAUAAUGAUGCGAAAGUAUGCAAGGUACAUGAUAUUACCGAGUAAUGUAUUUCACUGUUAUAACUUUAAAAAUGCAUUGAUUAAUCGUUUUUUACUAUUUCGGUUGAUGUCCAAGAAACUAAGGAAGAAAAAAUUUGGGUACCAAGAAACUUAGGAAGAAAAAAUUUGAUAGUAGAAGCACAGAUAACAGACAUCCAAGCUAGUUUCGCUUCAUGUGUAAAAAGAUUCAACGGUUUUUUAGCAUGUCGCAAUACGCAGUAUGGUGGCGCUAAGAACACUUAGUAGUCAACUAUUUAAUAAAAUCGAUAGUUUUACAGCUUUUAUCGAUAUUCUCGCAAUAAGAAGGGUUGCGGUUUUUAAUGUAGAAAUUUCGAGCAGUCGUAAUUUGUACACAAUCGACAAUUUUAUUCCUUCCCAGCUUAUAUUUACGAUAAAUAUGUUUGUUUUAAUGUUGAUUUGAAAAAAAAACACCCACCUUACAAAAUCAGUGUUAUAUCAUUGCAAAAACAGCGACUCUAUAACCUGUGAUAAUGUUCAUGCGUCUGGCAGCUUUGACUGUAAUCCAGCGCUGCCAUCACUAAACUGGUUAGAGUCGCAAGUUGCAGAAAGAUGUCGUUAGCAUUCCAAACGAGUAAAAGUUUGAAAUCUUACACACGGUUUCUGGAGUUUUUUGUUCUAGCUUGGAUGUCUGUUAUCUGUGGUAGAAGUAUGCUUUAUUGAACAUAAAAUAAUAAAUAAAAAUUGAGUAUUAUUCGCCUAUAUAUUGCAAUUUUAAUUUGUUUUAUUUUCAUUGACCUGCAGAAGUUGUUAAAAAUAAUCAUUCUGGCAUCAACGGUAUGGAACGUUCAAAAAAAUUUCGACGGGGAUGACGGCCGUUACAAAAAGAAAAAUUGGCCCUGACACAAGUAAAAGAGAUUUUUAAGGCUGUUCGCACCUACGCGAGUUCUUAUAAGCAAUUGUCAAUUUAUGUGUGGAAACAAAAGCAAAAAUAUUUCCCUCCUUCACUUUCGCAAGUAAAAACCAAACCAAUAUCAACAGGGUCGUCAGGGCCAAUAAGAAGCCAGCUGUCGCGUCUUGUCUUACACUCUGAAAAAUACGCACGUAAAAUCCACCUGAAAAAUCACGUAAGUGACUGACCCUAAGAAAAUCUGCCAUUUUACGUGACGUUAGUAACUUUCACCUAAACUACACGUACGAUUCACUGCCAAUUCACGUACAAUCGGUAUAUGGUUACAGUGCGUUGGUAUUUGUGUGUUUUUGAACUUUGUUAGUGUUAGUGCGGCUGUGGUUUGAUGUUUCCGACAACGAUGUUUACGUGAAUUUUUAGUAUGCAAAAAAGUCUAUAUGGCGGACAAAGGUCUCCUGAGCUGCUCCAGCUAAUUCAAUAUUGGAAAACACGCAAUUUGGUGAAUUCUUUCCGGAACGAUUGGAAUCAUCAACAGGUAGUUCCAAGCAAAACAUCUCCGGCACCAGCUGCGGAUGAACGGUUGACAGUCGUUCCGGCCAAUUCUGUUUCUCUCCUGUCGGAAAUGUCAAUUCGGAGAAUGUAAUUAUUUGUUGAGAAUUUAAAAUCAAUUUUAUUUGUCAUAUGCGCCAUGUAUUUUAUUUACUUAAAGAUCACAUGGAUUCCAUCUGAAUAACACGUAAAAAGUACGUGAAAAUCAUGUGGGGUUUAUGCGCUUUAUUUAUGGUUUCACCUGAAUAUCACGUAAAAAGGUACGUGAAAAUCAGGUAACAAUUACCUGACCAACACCUGGUUGAUUGACACUAACACACUGACACAUGGUCGGCUUUCGAGAAAUCGGCAAAAGUUACGUGAAAAGAAGAUGGAUGAGAAUCAGUCACUUUUCCCGGUAAAUUUUACGUGCAUUUUUUUCAAAGUGUAGGUCUUAGGUACUAACAUAUUUCAACGAUUUCAACAAAUAUUAAAGUUCGUUUCUGAAUGGCUAGGUCAUA